rnacentral:rRNA from 1 species
AGAAUCAACGCUGGCGGCGUGCCUAACACAUGCAAGUCGAACGCGAAAGUCCCGAAAGGGAUGAGUAGAGUGGCAAACGGGUGAGUAACACGUGGGUGACCUGCCUUCGAGUGGGGGAUAACGUCCCGAAAGGGACGCUAAUACCGCAUGACAUCCUGCUCUUGAACGAGUGGAGAUCAAAGCUGGGGAUCGCAAGACCUAGCGCUCAAAGAGGGGCCCGCGCCUGAUUAGCUAGUUGGUGGGGUAACGGCUCACCAAGGCUUCGAUCAGUA